GAUCCUGGCUCAGAUUGAACGCUGGCGGCAGGCCUAACACAUGCAAGUCGAACGGUAACAGGAAGCAGCUUGCUGCUUUGCUGACGAGUGGCGGACGGGUGAGUAAUGUCUGGGAAACUGCCUGAUGGAGGGGGAUAACUACUGGAAACGGUAGCUAAUACCGCAUAACGUCGCAAGACCAAAGAGGUCGGUACGUCGGCUCU
rnacentral:rRNA from 1 species